rnacentral:rRNA from 1 species
CCCCAAGUGCGAGGGCAUAUAGUCUCGCUUUUCCGACCGUAAGGUGGUCGGCGAAUAAGGGCUGGGCAAGACCGGUGCCAGCCGCCGCGGUAAUACCGGCAGCCAAGUGAUGACCGAUAUUAUUGGGCUAAAGCGUCCGUAGCCGGCCACGAAGGUUCAUCGGGAAAUCCGCCAGCUCAACUGGCGGGCGUCCGGUGAAAACCACAUGGCUUGGGACCGGAAGGCUCGAGGGGUACGUCCGGGGUAGGAGUGAAAUCCCGUAAUCCUGGACGGACCACCGAUGGCGAAAGCACCUCGAGAAGACGGAUCCGACGGUGAGGGACGAAAGCUAGGGUCUCGAACCGGAUUAGAUACCCGGGUAGUCCUAGCUGUAAACGAUGCUCGCUAGGUGUGGCACAGGCUACGAGCCUGUGCUGUGCCGUAGGGAAGCCGAGAAGCGAGCCGCCUGGGAAGUACGUCCGCAAGGAUGAAACUUAAAGGAAUUGGCGGGGGAGCACUACAACCGGAGGAGCCUGCGGUUUAAUUGGACUCAACGCCGGACAUCUCACCAGCUCCGACUAUAGUAAUGACGGUCAGGUUGAUGACCUUGCCACGACGCUAUAGAGAGGAGGUGCAUGGCCGCCGUCAGCUCGUACCGUGAGGCGUCCUGUUAAGUCAGGCAACGAGCGAGACCCGCACUUCUAAUUGCCAGCAACAGUUUCGACUGGUUGGGUACAUUAGAAGGACUGCCGCUGCUAAAGCGGAGGAAGGAACGGGCAACGGUAGGUCAGUAUGCCCCGAAUGAGCUGGGCUACACGCGGGCUACAAUGGCCGAGACAAUGGGUUGCUAUCUCGAAAGAGAACGCUAAUCUCCUAAACUCGGUCGUAGUUCGGAUUGAGGGCUGAAACCCGCCCUCAUGAAGCUGGAUUCGGUAGUAAUCGCAUUUCAGAAGAGUGCGGUGAAUACGUCCCUGCUCCUUGCACACACCGCCCGUCAAAGCACCCGAGUGAGGUCCGGAUGAGGCCA